rnacentral:rRNA from 1 species
AUUGAACGCUGGCGGCAUGCCUUACACAUGCAAGUCGAACGGCAGCACGGGAGCAAUCCUGGUGGCGAGUGGCGAACGGGUGAGUAAAGCAUCGGAACGUGCCCAGUCGUGGGGGAUAACGUAGCGAAAGCUACGCUAAUACCGCAUACGAUCUGUGGAUGAAAGCGGGGGACCGUAAGGCCUCGCGCGAUAGGAGCGGCCGAUGUCAGAUUAGGUAGUUGGUGAGGUAAAGGCUCACCAAGCCGACGAUCUGUAGCUGGUCUGAGAGGACGACCAGCCACACUGGGACUGAGACACGGCCCAGACUCCGACGGGAGGCAGCAGUGGGGAAUUUUGGACAAUGGGCGCAAGCCUGAUCCAGCAAUGCCGCGUGCAGGAUGAAGGCCUUCGGGUUGUAAACUGCUUUUGUACGGAGCGAAACGGCUUCCACUAAUACUGGGGGCUAAUGACGGUACCGUAAGAAUAAGCACCGGCUAACUACGUGCCAGCAGCCGCCGUAACAC